rnacentral:rRNA from 1 species
GACGAACGCUGGCGGCGUGCUUAACACAUGCAAGUCGAACGGAAAGGCCCUGCUUUUGUGGGGUGCUCGAGUGGCGAACGGGUGAGUAACACGUGAGUAACCUGCCCUUGACUUUGGGAUAACUUCAGGAAACUGGGGCUAAUACCGGAUAGGAGCUCCUGCUGCAUGGUGGGGGUUGGAAAGUUUCGGCGGUUGGGGAUGGACUCGCGGCUUAUCAGCUUGUUGGUGGGGUAGUGGCUUACCAAGGCUUUGACGGGUAUCCGGCCUGAGAGGGUGACCGGCCACAAUGGGACUGAGGUACGGCCCAGACUCCUACGGGAGGCAGCAGUGGGGAAUAUUGCACAAUGGGCGGAAGCCUGAUGCAGCAACGCCGCGUGCGGGAUGACGGCCUUCGGGUUGUAAACCGCUUUCGCCUGUGACGAAGCGUGAGUGACGGUAAUGGGUAAAGAAGCACCGGCUAACUACGUG